CCCCCCCCCCCCCCCCCCCCGCCUUCUCUGCGUUCCCUACGCCCCAAUCGAGCAGCAGGCCAGGCGGCGGCCAGAUCCGCGCCGUCCUCCAGGGCUCCGAGCUACGCCGCGACGGACGUGCUCGAGGUCCCCAAUCCUGCCGCUCCGGAAAAAGGAGGAGGUGGCGGCCACCGCUUCCUUUCCCGCGCGACGAGGCGGCUCUCCCCAACCCCUGCGGCGUCUUCCCCACCCCCUCCUUGAUUUUAGAAAUCUCCCCUGCAUCAUCAUCUCGCCCAGCACCGGCUGGCUCACCAAGCUGCAGAGACUGCCGCACGCCUCCCCAAGCUUCCUCCCCUACUGCUGGAGCUGACCCGACCGGACCGGAGCGGAGACCUUUUCUUCCUCCCUCCUCGAUCACUGCAUGAGACCAACCUACAUGUCCAGAUCUACAAGAACAGCCUAUUUCAGAGCAGAGAUCAAUUACUGCUUCGAGCUCAGACCAAUAGCCAACUACCUGCAAGGAGGCCUCCUGACCCACCCCGCUGGUGGCGGCUUCUUCGUCGAUUGUAUAUCUCCUUAGCUCGGCUGCAUCAUCUCGCACAGCAUCGCCAGGAUCACCAAGUUGCAGAGGCUGUAACAUUUCCUCUUUUCUGAGCUCAUGCACAAGUGGCCGCCGUGUGGCAUGCGCGGGUGAAAACAUCUCUGCUCGACGCCUUCAUCCGGCAUAGGAUAGCUUAGGUAAAUAAAAAACCUGGAAGUCAUGGUUGUUACAUGCUGGGGGACCUUGAUAUGCCCAAGGGCCAUGUGGAUUCGGUUGUCAAGCGCAAGGGGCUCGACAGUGAGACCAUCCAGCAUUCUGUACACGGUGUGAUGAUUCGGGCUCCCAUGACUGCCUCGUUGGCUACAACAACUUAGGACAUCUUAGAUAAAGAUAAAAACUGGAAGUCAUGGUUAUUACAUACUAGGGGAUCUUGAUAUGCCCAAAGGACACGUUGAUUUGAUAGCUGAGACCAUCCAGCAGUCUGUACGCGGGGUUGAUGAUUUGGGCUCCCAUGACUGUCUGCUUGGCUACAAUAACUUGCCACUGGUUUCGCUAAAGCGAGCCACUGAAUUGGGCCAGUGGACAUGGUGUGAUGAUCUGGUCUCCGAUGAGUGUCUCCUUGGCUAUAUCUACUUAGCCACCAGUUGUGCCAUAGCGAGCCAUUGAAUUGGGCCAGUGGACAGAGGGGCGUAGCGUAUUGACGUGUCCGGUGUCAGCGUGGACCAGCUGGGACGUGAAAAACAUGGACCUCGACCAUCUGGCGGUAUGUACAUGGUGUGAUGAUCUGGGCUCCCAUGACUGCCUCCUUGGCUGCAAAUACUUAGGAGAGCUUAGGUAAAGAAAAAAAACCCUGAAAGUCUUGGUUAUUACAUGCUAGGGGACCUUGAUAUGCCCAAGGGCCAUGUGAAUUUGGUAUCUAAGACCAUCCAGCAGUCCGUACACAGGUGUGAUGAUCUGGGGCUCCCAUGACUGGCUACAAUAACUUAGUUGAAUCUGUGGUUUCUCCUUCCUUCUGUCUGCUCUGGGAACUAGUUUUCAAGACUAUGCUCUGCUCUGGCCAUCGAGCCAAUGAUAUAGUGCUUGUGGUCUGUAGUGGUGGUUAGUGGCCAUGUUGUUACUGUUGACAUGUUCAGGCUUUAGCAGCAGAUUUAUUUAUUCAAAACUUUAGUAACCCAAAACCUCAGUAUUGCAAUGCCUGGGCAAUAAGUACUUAUGUUUCUAUAUACCAUAGUUUUUGUUAGUUUUUUAGCAAAUCCAACGAUGUGUUUUGUCAAGUACUGUUCUUGGGUAGUUUUGACUAGCAGCACCUAACUCAGCUACACUCAAGGAGCUGACCUGCAUGUGAAAACGGCCGCCCAAUUAAAGCGACCAUGCCAUGCUGCCCAAGUCUUCUCGUAUAUGCUAGGAUCUUUAGCAGCCUAGAGACUAGAAUUACCUCUUGUAGCGGCAUGCUAAAAGUUAACACUUCUAUUCUAUCACUUAAAAGUUGAAAAUAAAGUUAAAGUUUGAUAAUAUCGUGGAUUUAUAGCUGGUUGGUUAAUUACUAAUGGAAAAGCACUUGGAUGAUCUUAAUUAACCAGUAGCCCUGCAUUCCUUUAUUUGAAACAAACUUUGCUAAACGUGAUGCAUGCCAUAGUUAAAGAGCACUUGGAUGAUUUUCCUGGUUAUGACUUUACUCUUGAAAGACCUUAUACACCGAAUGCCCUUGGACAAGUUUAAUCCUCUAAUAUUUCCUGCAUUCAUCUGAUACAUUGCUUAGUGAUAUACUGUUACAAACUGUUGCAAAAGCCAUACACAUAGGUUCAUUUAGAAGUUUGCCAUCAAUUUGCUAUGGCUGUCAUAUAUCAGGGAUUACUAAUGGUAGAGUCUGAGCUCCAAUUAUACACUGAAAGCUGUAAAUUUUCAAGAGAAUAAUGAGGCCUGCCACCUGCUUUCCUGUUCAGUGCAUAUGUGGCUGGAGUACAAUCCAUAAUAUAACCAUGAUGAAAAAAAUAUACCUUUUUCCAUUUCUCUUUACCAUGCCGACUUAUAACACUACGAUGUAAUUAUGCGGGAAGUGGUUGCGGCAGAGCGAGCCACUGAAUUGGGCUAGUGGACAGAGAGACGUGUCGACAUCUCCAGGGUCAGCUGAGACGUGAGCAGCAUGGGCAUUGAGCCAUCCAGCAGUCCGGACAUGGUGUGAUGAUCUGGGUUCCCAUGACUGUCUCCUUCGCUACAACUACUUAGCCACAUGAUGUGCCAUAGUGAGCCACUGAAUUGGGCCAGUGGACAGAGAGACGUAUCGACCUGGGACGUGAACAGCAUGGACCUUGAGACCAUCCAGCUGUAUGAACAUGGUGUGAUGAUCUAGGCUCCCAUGACUGCCUCCUUGGCUAUAACUACUUAGGUAGAGUCCCUGGUUUCUUCUUCCUCCUUUUCUUCUAUGGAAACUAGCUUUCAAGAUAGCUCUGCUCCGGCCAUCGAGAUGGUGAUACUAGCUUGUGGUCUGGCCGUGGCCAAUGAUGUUGUUACUGUUGACAUGUUCAGGCUUUGGCAGCAUAGUUUUUUUCGAAACCGUAGCAAUCCAAAGCCACCGAUGCGUUUGGCAAGUGCUGUUUUAGGAUAGUUGACUGGUGACACCUAACUCGCAUAUUUUGGCAUUAUAUGUUUAAUUGGUCACCUGUGUUGCCAACAUUUGCAACGUUUUGAUCAGUAGGGCGCAAUGGAUCAUGCUAGUGUGUUCCUUAUUUUCUGUUCACAUAUGUUGUCGAUGAUCUGUUGGAACGAGUUUCAAACAGUGUGAUGUUUGUUUUCUGAAUCCAAACCAGAAUAUAGUUGUAUGUUGUAAUUUUUGAACA